UAGCCAUUUUGUUAAAGCGGUAUUAUGUUCUUCAAUACGGAAACUCCAAUAAUUUCUCAAUCAAUUGAAAUCUUCUCCAAUACUCUUCAGUCAAUCUUUAAAACCUCAUUUAAAUUUCAUAUAUCUUGCCUGUUCCAUCGUUCCAUCUCUCUGUUGAUGUAUAUUAUGUUUUCAAUUUCAAACAAUAGCUAAUGAUUCUAUGAUGAUUCUUCGACUGCCUUGCUGCUCCUCCGAAGAUCUCCAAUCUCUUCCAGUUUUGAAUCUGAGCGAUUGUGUACACAAUUAGGGUUCAUGCUAAUAAUCUGAAUUUGAUUCUGUGACAAUGUCGGGGAGUCGGCGGACUAUUUCUUUGGUCGAUUUCUUUGAUUCUACGGUAACAAUCAUCUUUUAAUUUAUAUCUUAUUGGUUUCUUUGUACAGAUCUGGUAGUUUUUGUUAGAAUUUAUAAAUGAAAUACCUAUUUUAUUGUCUUUCAUUUGAUUGAUUCAUCGGCGGUUGACAAAGAUGCUUGAAUGAAAAUUACUUACAAUUUUGGAGUAUAAAUAUUUGUUGUGCAAAUCAAGAACAAAUAGAUUGGUUUAUACAAGGUAUAUUAGUUAGGUUUAUUAUGUCGACAAGGUUUAUUAUAAUUAUAUUAUAUUAAUAUAUAAUAUGGGAUGUUCAUUAAUUUAAAAAAUUGCGAUGGAUUUCGUUUUGGAGAGGAUGGGUUGGAAAUUCAGGAUGUGCAAAGUGAGAUAGUCAGGAGGCAUAUUGUUCCACAAGUGUUUAUCAAUGGGAAAUCUCUUGGAGAUUCAGAUGGUAAGUCCAACUUCAAACAACUUUAAUCACAUUUUUUGUUUCUACAAUAGCAGGUUAGUAAACUACAAAAGGAAAAAGAAUCAGAGAUGUAGAGAUGUGUUGUUGAUCUACAAUAUCAGAGUGGAAUCAAAAUCCUCAUCUUCAUCUUCAUCUCCCGACUUGAUACAGAGCCGGUGUGGGAUUUGAGUUUGUUCUUCAUCUAGGGUUUUGAUGAUGAGAGCAAUUGUGUGAUGAGCUUGCCUUGCUCUCAAGAAAUCGGGUUCCGCCGCGAGCGGAGAGACAACUGCUUUGUUGUUGUUUAGACUCAACCAGAAGAGAACCGUCAUUGGAGCUGUGACAGUGGCGUACGAAUGGGGAUUCAAGUCAGCGAUGGUGGUUGUGGCUUUGAGUAGAGGUUCGACUAUUCAUCAGCAAGUUAUUAAAGAAUUUUCAUGGUCAUUUUGUUCAGUGAGAUGUGCAAGUUAUAAGGUCCGAUGGAUGAUACGAAGAAGUUCCCAAAGUAAAAUUAUGAUGGGUCCAACGGGUUUGGGUCAUAAGGUUCCAACCAAACUGGUUCAGGGAUUAUUUGCCGCCUGGGAUAUGAUGGCUGAUGCAAAUAUACCUCAAGGUGCCAUUACGACGUGUUAGAAGAUAAAGAUUUACAAAACGUUCGCCUCGCAGCUGAUGGCUAGAAGAAAGUUUUUUAUGAUGUUCCGACAAGAAUUAGAGCAAAGCUAUAACAAGGGUAACCUUAUCUGGUGUUUGCUAUAGCAAGAGAAAUAAAUGGCAUAAGGGUGUGCUGGGUGUACUUGGUGAAGGGGUGUGCAGUGAGUAUUCACCAUGUGGGAACACCGCCCCUUAGACCCUUCACCAUGCGGUAAAUGGAUACAAGCUGGGAAUAUUCACCGUGCAAGGGAAGAGGGGGGAUGUUGUGCCCCACUAUCUUCCAACCAUAUAUGGUUCAUUUGGCAAUUGGCAAUGAUCUUAAUACCAUAAAAGCCAAUUGGCAGGUAAACAGGCGGUUGGUUAGCUUGGCAAUGACCUAUUAAUGUGAUCGAUACAUAUUUUGCAUUUGGUUCAGCAUUGGAUAUUGAGUUUUGAAGCCGAUAAACCGAUGUGCGUUCUAUGCUUCCCCAUGGUAAUUGACACUCCCCAAACUGUGCUUGCAAAUAUUGUGAAAGAGUGGGUAGAUAUAGCAUUAAGGCCAGUGGUAGAACAGGAAAUUCACUUUUAGUACCGGUACCGAACGGAUACCAUGCUAAUUUCCUAACCAUUCUUGCAGGUCUUAAUUCAUAGAGAUGAGCAUUUGAUGUUAGUUCCGGUACAGAAUCGGUAUCGUACAGUUACCGGUUUCAAAUUUCCCAUACCGAUUUUUUUUGGUACCGAAUCGGUACCCACUUUUUGACGUUUUCGGUAUAGGUAGUUUGGUCUGGUAUCAAUUCGGUAAGGUACCGGUAUUUUACCGAAUUUUAUCUUCAAUUACCCGAAUUUCAUCUUCAAUUACCGGUACUAUACCGAGCAUUUUCGGUACCGUUACACAUAAUUAGCGAUUUUUUGUACCUGUAUUUUCGGUACCAGUGCCGAGCUCAUGUCUAGAUGACAUUACUAUUGAUUCCGAUUAUUUGAAUAUUCCUUUAUGUGAAGAGGUACAAAAUUUCCUUACUUCGAACUAAGGCUAUCACAUGAGAAAUCAAGUGCGUAUACAUUAACUUCUAAAAGGAUAUUCAUCUCACAAUGGAAAUAUUUGUAAACAUAUGGUAUUGUAUUUGAUAAUAGCCUGUUUGAAACUAACUUGCUUUGACCCGUUACCCAUACAACCUCUUUCCAAAUGUAACUUCAAAACGGAUAUUCAUCUGAACAAUCCCACUUGGCUUCAUGUGUUUUAAUCAAACUUAGAUUAUUAUGUCAAAUAUAUCAAGAUUUUUCAUUUUAUAUUUUUUGGUGAUUGCAGGUCAUAGCAGUUGCAGCAUAUGGGCCUGUGAAGCUAUCUAAAGUUGCAUUAUUUUGUCAGGCUUUAUUGCUUUGUUAUGACGUAUUGCUGGGUUUGGUGGUAAGUGCAAGUUAUUGGACUUGGGCUUGACUUGGAUGAUGGCUAGAAGCUUGAAGUUUGUUGCUGAUGCGUAUGAAAGCCAAUAGAGUUUUGAAGAUUGAUGUUUUUUUUGUUUAAACUGUAUUUUGUCUUGAUUUUGGUUGUUUUCGUUUGUUUUUUGUUUGGAUUUUGAAUAGGUUUUAUGUUUGUAAUACUUGGGUUGUGUGUGGUCGCGAGUUGAGUUAGAAGUAAUAAUUGUUAUUGGUUAGAAUGGUUGGGGUAGGGGUUUGUUAAAAACCCGUUCUUUAAGGCCUUAAGCGUUUUUGAGGUUGGUGUUCUUGGGGUAUGUCUCGGAAGACCUAAUGCUCUUUAGGUGUAACUAUUAUUUUUUAAUUUUAUUAAUAAAGUUUUGACGGGGUGUCGUCCCC